GUGAACCUGCUACUGUGGACUAUCAUCAUCAUCAUCAGAAUCAUCACAGUGGCAAUGGGAGUCAGGACAUGGACACUCGCUGGAGGACCUCCGCAGGGUCCAUGCUUCCCAGAAUUGUUCAUGCCGUUGAUUUCAAACCGUUACUUGGCUAUCCUUGGAUUCUCAAACAGCCCAGCAAGAGCUCAUGCCUCCCUCCUAAAGACUUUAAGGCUUCCAGCUGUCAUUACUUUCUCUAAAACCAAGCAAUGGACCGUUGUGAGCUAAGCCAGCACUAACUGGUAUUUUCGGACGGGGGAAGCUCUGAGUAGCCGCUGAACGAGGGAUGGAUAAAAACAUGGAGGGGAUGCUGCCCUGGUGGGACAGGAAGUAGAGACGCAGAGGGGAGCAACUUCACCUGCUUAUCACCUUCAGUCUGACCAAUGGAACUGGCCUCUGAUUGGACGUGUCUGAUAGCCCAUCCAAUUGAUGGGAAUGGGAGAGAGAGAAAGGAAGAGGAACCUGAUGACAGUUCCCUGCAGAGAUGAAACUCCUCAGAAGCGCUCAGAGAGAAGAUGACACUUCAUACCACAUCAUUUGAUAGGAUUCAGAGAGGGUUAUGGAUCCUGUCACACAGCCAAAUGAAGUCGAGGGGAAAACCGAGUCCCUGGGCUCUUCUCUGCUCCAACACCAGCCUGUAAAUAUCAUGCAUUAUUGAUGGGAUAAAAUUUUCAGCCUUGUUAGUUUUAAAGCUGACAAUAUGCCAGGCAAAUUAAAUUUGUGAUUUUUGAUGCCAUAUACAGCGAAAACAUCUUCUAGAUCAAAAUGUAUGCCAUAAUGAAUAUAACAAAAAUCACAAAUGAGAUCUCGUUAAUAUCUCAGUUGAUCUCCUAGAAAUCAGGGCCAUUAAAAAGAGAGCAAAUGGAGAUUUUUAGUGAAAUAUCCAUCGUUUCAGUUUUUUUUUUCCUUAGAAAAGGCCCUAUAGUAAUCUCACGUCUCCUCUUGAGCUUCAAAUCAGCAAUUACACAAAAAUCUGGAAUCUACACUACAGAAUAUUUUAAUAAUCUGAAGAAACUUAAGAUCUCAAUAUGCGCUCUAAUGUUUCUUGCCAGAUUCCUUUUUUUGGGGGGUGAAAUGUCAGAGUCAGAGUCGAUAAUUAAGUGAAACAACUACAAACAGCAAAUUUUCCUCCUAAUAAUCUGAAAAUUUAAGUAAUAUGAAAUAUUUAAUCUAAAUGUUAAAACAUUAGUUUAAUAAUCCUUAUAAUAAUAAUUGUGAUAAUAUUAACAAUUACUGCUAUUAGGAUCAUGCAUUAAAUCAUCCACAUAUAAUUUUAUUUUUAGCUUUUAAUUUUUUAGUCCAAAUUUUCCAACCUGAUAAGAAAGUGUGCUCCUUUCCAAGUAAUAAAGUUAAAUUACAUAUUCA
ensembl:lncRNA